AUACGGAUAUGGGAAUCAAUUAACAUUUCCUACGGAAAUAGCAUGCUAAAAUGUACUAAAAGAAACCAAAACAAAAAAACAAAAACAUAAAAAGGAGUAUGGAUGAAGUGAAGGCAGUUCUCCUCCCUCGUCCACACAUUUGAAAUCCCAAUGUCGACUGCCUCCACCACACCACCACCACACAAAGCAGAGCCACUUCGACCGCAACAGUCACUGCAGCACAUCGACUCCAUGGCCUCCCUCCAUCUCCUUCCCAACUCCCUCGCUCCCGUCACCCCAUCGUUCCCUCCUCCCACUCUCCGCCACUCCUCGGUUUCCACCUUCGUUUCAUCUCCACCAGCUCCGCAUCCGCGGAGGCUUGCCCUCUCCGCCUGCGCCAAGAGGAAGAAGAACCCGUGGCUCGACCCCUUCGACGACGGGGAGGACCCCGACAUGGAGUACGGCUCCCUCUUCGCCGACGGCAAACAGGAGGAGGAUCCGAGGCCGCCAGAGGACCCCGACAACCCUUACGGCUUCCUCAAGUUCCCCAUGGGCUUCAACGUGGAGCUCGACUCGCUCGCCGCCAAGGUGCGGGGCGACGUGCGGCGCUGCUGCUGCGUCGUGUCUGGCGGCGUCUACGAGAACCUGCUCUUCUUCCCGGUCGUCCAGCUCAUCAAGGACCGCUACCCGGGGGUUCUGGUGGACGUGGUCGCCUCGCCGAGGGGGAAGCAGACCUACGAGCUGAACAAGAACGUGCGGUGGGCAAACGCCUACGACCCCGACGAAGACUUCCCUGAGUCCGCCGAGUACAUCGACAUGAUCGGUGUCCUAAAG
rnacentral:lncRNA from 1 species